CUGCUGUUAGAUGGUAAGAUUUAAUCAAAUUAGGUUUUAGAGAGAGAAAAGAGAGCAGAGCUUCACACACCUGCUGAGAACAUCAAGAUGAAUCGUGUAUUUCUGGUCCUGGGCUUCGUCCUGAUCAUGGCGCUCUACUCAGACGCUAACCUAGCUAUACAAGUUUUUGGAGAAGUCGAGGCUUGCUGUUUCAACUUCUUCAAUGGAAAAAUUCCUCCCACACACAUCCUGCAGGUUAACCGGACAGGCUCACACUGUCCACAGCAAGGCUUCAUGCUUCAUAAAAUAAAAACUUUAAAAGCCAUUUCUUCACCAUUUAUUAUGACGCUUAAUGUUGUUAUUGUUGCUUAAUGCUGUGCAGAUUCAAAUAAAGUUAUCAUUGCA